rnacentral:ncRNA from 2 species
CUCCAACUUCAGGGCAGAGUGAGACGUUUUAAAGCGUCAAUUCUCGACUGGCGGUGAUCCUUUUUUAUAGAGCAGAAGGCAAGUCCGCGAACCGAAAGGCCGAUUGAGUGUGAAUCUCAAACCAACAGUAUAGUCUGGAUGAAAGAAGUAACCA